CCCGUGGGAGCCUCCCCAACCCCUCAGUCCCAGCAGCAAACUGCGCUUGGUCGGACGGAUGCCCGUGCGAGGGAAGCUGAGAGAAAGUAUGUCUUUGGAGCCUGGAAACCUGGAGGUCAUUUCUGAGCAUGAAAUCUUUCAGGUCUUAAAACCCUGCUCUCAGCACCUUGGUAGAGAAGGUUCCAGAGAAGAGACUAAAUGGGCUCUUCAGUUCCGGAGCCUCAGUGGCACCAUCCAUACUUGGAAAAGGAAUCACGUUGAUCACCAGAGAAGGAAUUUCAUCAAAACCAGGCUGCCUGCAGGGGAGGCUAUGGGUGAAGAGGCUCCAGGAUUGCAUUUCACAGAGGCAUGACUGUCCUGGAGGGAGGAUGUGGCCACUGGUGUGUGGGGCAACGAGACUGCCCGGUUCUCUAGAAGAUCGGCCAUGCAGCCGUGCAGGGCAGAAAGCCCUGUGGUUAGUUAGACCUUGGCCAGCAAUCUCCCACUUACCUCUUCCCAUAACCCGCUGCAGACUUGAAUUUGUUUUUAAUUCUCCAGACUUGGGAGUAAAAGAUCUAGUUCAGAGGCCUUGGCCUUGUGCCCUCCCUCACCCCACCACAUCCCUGAUUACCAAGGUGCGGACCUUGUGUGACUCACAGAGGCCUUUGGAGUUUUCUUCACUUUAGAAGGCAGCAAAUGGUUUUUAAUGGUGAGGUAUUUGCGGAAGGAUGCUAAGGCUCAAUCCCCAAGAUGCCUAGCUCCACGGGACUUGGAAGGCUUGACCAGUCUGGUUCUGAUUACAGAACUGCGCUCACGUAGCUGGUUGAGAGCUGUUCUUUUAGUGGUGCUGAAAGUCAGGCCAGCACUGGCUGCCUGGUAGGUCGGUUGUCUACAGGCUCAGCCACCACCCUCCUUCCAGCUUAGAGACACAGGCUAAAUAAUUCGCUAUUGCUGGGAACAAAUCUCAGCAGCCACCAGCUUCCAGUUGCGCCCUCCACCGUUUCUCCACUCAGCACCUAUAGUGGUCCUUUCUCCCUCUCUACUGAUUUUAAUUAAAAAAAUAUUUUUAUUUUUAUUUUU
rnacentral:lncRNA from 1 species